rnacentral:tRNA from 2 species
GGGCUUAUAGUGUCGCCCAGCAACUCAUAAUCCUUUGGUCCACGGUUCGAGUCCGUGUGGGCCCACCA